AGUGUAACAUAGCUGUCGCAGCAUCAUUAGAGCAGUGGAGCCUUCAGAUGUAAACUUUAGAAAAGAAGAGGGAAGUCAGUUAAGACUGGCAGUGUGCGAAGGCCACCACUGGUUGUGUGGCAAAUAAUGAGCACGUCCUGAACUAGCAGCUCUCAGCCCGGUGGUGGAAACCAGACGAGACAGCUUCUACAGCAAGGACCUGAGCUGGCUCUGUUAAAGCACAGUGAACUCUGUAACCCCUCAACCUAGACAGACUAACGGCCAGCAAAGACUGUCAGUGCCCUGACCCUGCCUGGCAAAUAAAGCACAGCUUGCUCAUGCUGGAAAUAAAAACACUCACUCAAACUCUCUCCAUCUCACUCUCUCUCUCUCACACACCCACACAUACACAAAAGUGUAUAUGAACAUGUGUGCACUC